rnacentral:misc_RNA from 1 species
CAUGCACAAAUUUUUAUCCCAGAAAUGAAUAUGCAGCAAGUCUUUGGUGCUGCGACUUGCACUUUCUAUCUGCAAUUAUAUCGAAAUGGCUAAGGUCUUACCCGAAUUGUUAACCAUAUUGAAAAAGCUUGACAAGCUAAUUAUGGCUCUAUGUUGACUUUAAUGUGGGAUUGGGGUCACAAAUCAUAAUACCAACUUGGCAUGUUAACACUGGGAAUGCGUCAAUCCAAAAGGAUUUGUGGG